rnacentral:misc_RNA from 1 species
CGCACAUUGCGCCCUUUGGUAUUCCGAGGGGCACGCCUGUUUGAGCGUCAUUUCUAAUCCUCAAGCAAUUGCUUGGAGUUGGGCUCUGUCUUCUGCAAGGAUGGACAAGUCUAGAAAUACUUGGUCGUAUGGUACACCCGAUCGUGAUGCACUCGCGAUGGCUGAGUUGUAACUUUCGACCCUUCUACCUAAUUCUAAGGUUGACCUCAGAUCAGGCGGGGAUACCCGCUGAACUUAA